CCUAGUGGUUGUUAACAAUAUUGUUCAGCGUUGUUCAGCCUGGACAAUGCUGAACAAUAUUGUUAACCACUAGGAG